rnacentral:rRNA from 1 species
GAUGAACGCUGGCGGCGUGCCUAAUACAUGCAAGUCGAGCGAAUGGAUUAAGAGCUUGCUCUUAUGAAGUUAGCGGCGGACGGGUGAGUAACACGUGGGUAACCUGCCCAUAAGACUGGGAUAACUCCGGGAAACCGGGGCUAAUACCGGAUAACAUUUUGAACCGCAUGGUUCGAAAUUGAAAGGCGGCUUCGACUGUCACUUAUGGAUGGACCCGCGUCGCAUUAGCUAGUUGGUGAGGUAACGGCUCACCAAGGCAACGAUGCGUAGCCGAGCUAAGAGGGUGCACGGCCACACUGGGACUGUGACACGGCCCAGAGUCCUACGGGAGGCAGCAGUAGGGAAUCUUCCGCAAUGGACGAGAGUCUGACGGAGCAACGCCGCGUGAGUGAUGAAGGCUUUCGGGUCGUAAAACUCUGUUGUUAGGGAAGAACAAGUGCUAGUUGAAUAAGCUGGCACCUUGACGGUACCUAACCAGAAAGCCACGGCUAACUACGUGCCAGCCGCCGCGGUAA